ensembl:snRNA U6 U6 spliceosomal RNA
GUGUUCACUUCAGCAGCAUGUAUAUUAAACUUAGAAUGACACAGAAAAGAUUACAAUGGCUCAUGCACAAGAAUGGUAAGAAAAUUUGUGAAAUAUUCCAUACUUUU